GAUGAACGCUGGCGGCGUGCCUAAUACAUGCAAGUCGAACGAUGAAGCUAGAGCUUGCUCUGGUGAAUUAGUGGCGAACGGGUGAGUAACACGUGAGUAACCUGCCCCGAACUCUGGGAUAACUGCUGGAAACGGUAGCUAAUACUGGAUACGACCUACGAAGGCAUCUUCUGUAGGUGGAAAGAAUUUCGGUUCGGGAUGGACUCGCGGCCUAUCAGCUUGUUGGUGAGGUAAUGGCUCACCAAGGCGACGACGGGUAGCCGGCCUGAGAGGGUGACCGGCCACACUGGGACUGAGACACGGCCCAGACUCCUACGGGAGGCAGCAGUGGGGAAUAUUGCACAAUGGGCGCAAGCCUGAUGCAGCAACGCCGCGUGAGGGAUGACGGCCUUCGGGUUGUAAACCUCUUUUAGUAGGGAAGAAGCGAAAGUGACGGUACCUGCAGAAAAAGCACCGGCUAACUACGUGCCAGCCGCCGCAGUAA
rnacentral:rRNA from 1 species